GGGCAGCACGUACUGCGCAGACUCCGCGCUGUGGCCGGCCGCCAAUGCGCCCAGAGGAGGUGGGCUGAGAACGAGUGGCGCGUCCCUGAGGGGGCCUAGGUCGGCUGGGCAGCCGUCGAGUACCACGAGGCGCGUGGACCCGUGGCUAUGGUGCCCACUGGGAGGCUCGGGAGUGUGAGGCCGCGGGGCCGCAGCCGCCCACCGCGCCUCUCCCGCCCCGCGUUCCGCCGCCAGUCGUCGUGCUGCAAGCCGGGCCAAGCGUCUUGAAGGAGGCGUGAGCCUAACAAAACGUGCGGCGCUCAACUGCGGACUAAAUCAAAGAGUAUUUCACACCUUCUCUGGCAGAAACCUUUUCACCAUUUUAGGACUCCUUCUUUUGAAAGCUGUUGGCAGGAACUGAGGCAAGCAUUCGUCUCUCUGAGCCUCAACUACCAUCCAUAAAGAAGAGGUACUGCCUAACCCAUGAACUCAAAAUUCACAGGAGUAUCAAAUGGGUUUUAUAGUAAAUCAGAAAUCUCAUUUUCAAUGUAAGGAGAUCUUAUUUUUACCGAAAUUGACUAUUUUGACAAAACCACAGUCUUAUUAGUCCAGUUACUCAAAGUAGUAUUCAUGUUGAUUUCUCUGUUUGCUUCACUUUCCUACAUCCAACUGUUCUCCAAAUUCUGUUGAUUUUUCUUUUUAAACAGUUCUUGAGUCCUCCCCCUUUCUUCCCAGGUACACUGGGAUGGAGUCUGUGCCCUCAUUAUGGGCCUUUUAGGUAACUGGCCUUUCUACCGCUAGUCCCCUCAGCUUCUAGUCUAUUCACUGCUACUCUGUGGCCAGAGUGACCUCUUCAGACAAGUCAUGUUUCUCUCUUUAUGUUCCCCGUGGGUCUUCCACACUCACCAUAACAAAGCCUAAACUCCCUAAUCUGGCACACGUGGCCCUUUAUUUCCCUACUCCUUCCAUGUCCUUGGUACACCUUGCUCUGCUCAUCAUUCUCUCAAUCUCCAGACUCUUUUAUGACAUGGUGUCUUUCCUUAGGUUAUGCCAUUCACUGUCCUUGUUCACUUGCCAAACUCAGACUGCACCUCUUGGGGCCCAAUUAAGUGUUUCAUGGUAGGGCCUCUGGAGACACUGUGGAAAGAGAAACUUUUCUGCAGGUGGCAUGUGUGUCUCCAGGUCUGGUGGUGGCAUUCUCUGAAACUAAGGAGUGAGCCACAGGGGACAAAAGGGCUCCCAAGAUGGAGGCAGGUGGCAGCCUUUAGUUAUAAAUACUCACAGGCCAAUACUGUGGUUUCUUCAGGUAAAGAUGCUCAGAUCUCAGAAGGACCUGAAAGAAGGAAGGGAGGGAACUGAUUGUAUAGAUUUAAAAUUUUUGCAAAAUCCUUGCCUGCCCUAUUCAACUAGAAACAUCAUCCUUUAUGCACACCUGAGACUCUGGGAGCAUGACAGGACUUCUGCUGUCUCUGUCUGCCCAGGCCCCCCAGCAGGUGCUUGAGUGUUACUCCCUCCCCUUCUUCCUCCUUUUCCUCCACUUCUGUAUCCACCUCAUCCCCUGUAAUCAAUAAUUCUUAUGACAUUUUUAAAUUUACAAAACACUUGCAGAUACAUCAUUUCAUCUGCGUAACAACCUCGUGAAGUACAUUGAUCUUAUAUCUCAGUUUUAGAGAUGAGUAAAUUGAGGCCCAGAGAAGUUCAAUUACUUGUUUAAAGUCAACGUAGUUAGUAGAUUAUAGAACUGGGAUUUAAACUAAGUCUUCAACUCUAAAUCUCAGAGUUGUGUUGUUUGUUUUUAUAAAGUGUUGUGACAUUGAUAUUUAAUUUGGAACUAUGUUUCCAUUUGUAGCAUCUUUCUUGGUAUUAAAAUAUGCUGUUUUACAAACCCUC